GGCGCUAUAGCCAAGUGGUUACGGCAACAGAUUAGAAUUGACAACCCAUUGUAUAGCUGUUUAUCUGUUCCUCUUUGAGGGCGCAGGUUCAAAUAGCCACAUAGUUUUC